rnacentral:lncRNA from 1 species
ACCGGUACUUAAGCCGGAUUAAUUCAGCCCAACCCAUUUUCGGAUCUUGGUUGGCCCACGCAAUCCAAACUCAAUAAAAUCGAUAAAAAUCAAAGCGGGUCGAUCGGGUUUAGGUGGUGUUUCUUUCUUUCUUUUUUUUGUUUUUCGUUCCAUUGAUAGAAGGAAUCGGGCGGAUGAAGCUGGAUUUGGUUGGUUCCCACGUUGAUGAAUAAUAAAUAAUGGAUGACGCUUUUUUUGGUGGGU